rnacentral:rRNA from 1 species
AGUGAACGCUGGCGGCGUGCUUAACACAUGCAAGUCGAACGAGAACGGAAUAUAGCUUGCUAUAUUUGUCAGCUAAGUGGCGCACGGGUGAGUAAUGUAUAGAUAACCUGCCUUUAAGAAAGGAAUAACAGUUGGAAACGACUGCUAAUGCCCUCUAUGCCUUUAAUACAUAAGUAUGCAAGGGAAACGCUUUAGUGCUUAAGGAUGGGUCUGUAUGGUAUCAGCUUGUUGGUGAGGUAAUGGCUCACCAAGGCUAUGACGCCUAACUGGUUUGAGAGGAUGAUCAGUCACACUGGAACUGAGACACGGUCCAGACUCCUACGGGAGGCAGCAGUGGUGAAUAUUGCACAAUGGACGAAAGUCUGAUGCAGCAACGCCGCGUGGAGGAUGACACAUUUCGGUGCGUAAACUCCUUUUAUAUAGGAAGAUAAUGACGGUACUAUAUGAAUAAGCACCGGCUAACUCCGUGCCAGCCGCCGCCGUAAAAC